rnacentral:lncRNA from 1 species
GAAUGGCUUAACCACUGGGCCCUGAGUACAAACAUUCCUUUGGAGGGAGGAGCCUGGAAUGAGUUCCUUAGCUUUCUGGAAACUGGGAUCAUAGGCACGUGUUACCAGGCCAGCUCAUCGGAAUGGUGAGGCCAAUCUGUUCAGCAGAAAUGUCUUCAAGGUGCAGCGCUGGAGUCUGAGCUGCUGACAGAAGCCUCCUUCAAAUUCAUGAGGCUUGCUCUCCACAUUGACUGCUUGCCCCACCUAUCCUCACUCUAGGGUGGUGUGAUGGUUUGCAUAUGCUCAGCCCAGGCACUAUUAGAAGGUGUGGCCCUGUUGGAGUAGGUGUGGACUAUAAGAUCCUCAUUCUAGCUGCCUGGAAGUCAGUAUGCUACUAGCAGCCCUCAGAUGAAGAUGUAGAACGCUCAGCUCUUCAUGCACCAUGCCUGCCUGGAUGCUGCCAGGUUCCCACAUUGAUAAUGGACUGAACCUCUAAACCUGUAAGCCAGCCCCAAUUAAAUGUUUGCUGUCCUUUAUAGGACUUGCAAUGACGAGAACUACUUCCCAAUAGUCCCAUGGGCCAUAGAGGCCACGUGAGCAAGAAAACACUAGUGGUUGAGGAAAAUACAAUGCCGUCAUUGAGAGUAUCAAAUAUGGUGGGAUAACACAGCACAGAACUCUUUGUAUAACUGAAAACUAAAUUACUAUGAACUCAUACUAGAUAAGUUUAACUUUUGAUUUAAUAUGUCCAUGCAUAAUAGUAAUGAUAUUUCUGAAUAAUAUUGUGUGUUUACUGUCUGUCAGGAUUGAUGUCAGGCAGUUUACAUGCCUUUUCAUUAUGAUGUAACGGACUGUUGUGCUGCUACCCAUACUUGAAAAUAUUUAUGUUUAUUUU